rnacentral:lncRNA from 1 species
CUUUAAAGGAGUUGACAGUGGGGUGUGGACCGUGUAGCCGAGACAGCUUGCAGGGUGGUUGUGCUCACCCCGCAUCAAGGUUGCUAAGCUGCUGUGAUGGAAUCCUGGAGCUGCUGAAGGACACCUCAUCUCUUUGUGGGAAGCAUCUGCUUGAGGAUUAAGGGAAUGCAGAAAAAAAGUGGAGUAGAGAGAUGGAGGAAGAUGACUUUCGAG